GACGAACGCUGGCGGCGUGCUUAACACAUGCAAGUCGAACGGAAAGGCCCUGCUUUUGUGGGGUGCUCGAGUGGCGAACGGGGGAGUAACACGUGAGUAACCUGCACUUGACUUUGGGAUAACUUCAGGAAACUGGGGCUAAUACAGGAUAGGAGCUCCUGCUGCAUGGUGGGGGUUGGAAAGUUUCGGCGGUUGGGGAUGGUCUCGCGGCUUAUGAGCUUGUUGGUGGGGUAGUUGCUUUCCAAGGCUGUGACGGGUAGCCGGCCUGAGAGGGUGACCGGCCACCUUGGGCCUGAGGUACGGCCCAGACUCCAACGGGCGGCAGCAGUGGGGAGUCUUGCACAAUGGUCGGAAGCCUGAUACAGCGACGCCGCGUUCGGGAUGACGGCCUACGGGUUGUAAACCGCUUUCGCCUGUGACGAAGCGUGAGUGACGGUAAUUGGUAAAGAAGCACCGGCUAACUACGUG
rnacentral:rRNA from 1 species